CACCCAACGCAACACCCAACGCAACACCCAACGCAACACCCAACGCAACACCCAACGCAACACCCAAUGCAACACGCAACGCAACACGCAACACGCACGCAACACCCAACGCAACACCCAACGCAACACCCAACGCAACACCCAACGCAACACCCAACGCAACACCCAACGCAACACCCAACGCAACACCCAACGCAACACGCAACGCAACAUGCAACACGCAACGCAACACGCAAUGCAUCACGCAACGCAACACGCAACGCAACACACAACGCGACACACAACGCGACACACAACGCGACACGCAACGCGACACGCAACGCAACACGCGACACACAACGCGACACACAACGCGACACACAACGCGACACACAACGCAUCACGCAACGCAUCACGCAACGCAUCACGCAACGCAACACACAACACACAACGCAACACACAACGCAACACACAACGCAACACGCAACGCAACACGCAUCACGCAACGCAACACCCAACGCAACACCCAACGCAACACCCAACGCAACACCCAACGCAACACACACACAACACCCAACGCAACACCCAACGCAACACGCAACGCAACACCCGCUCCUCCUCCCCCGGGUGGCACCACCGGGCUGGGAGUUCGCCUGUUGGCGGUGGUGGUGGUGGUGGUGUUGCUGUUUGGUUGUUGUUGGUUGGAGUGACAAUAAAGCAGCGUUAACGCGGCCCCACUCGCAACAGGCGGCGGCAACAACCGACCGACCACCAACCACCGCCAACCAUCGAACCGAACCGGAGUGCCAACCAACGGCACAACAGGCACACACACACACAACACACAACACACACACAACACCCGC
rnacentral:lncRNA from 1 species